rnacentral:lncRNA from 10 species
GUCGACCCCCUGCCUCUCUUCUCCGCGGGUGUGCAGAUCGCCGCCGGCCGAGGCUUGCCGCCGCCGCCCCGACUGGGGGAAUGAGCAGGCGCCAGGUCUUGAAUUCCUGUCAGGGCCGGUCUGGGGGCUCCCUGCUGAAGCCCCUGUCCCUGAUCCCGCAACCUCCCGCGGUCUCUUUCGCCCAGGCUGGAGUGUGAUCACGGCUACUGCAGCCUCGAUCUCCAGGGCUCAAGUGAUUCUCUCACGUCGGCCUCGCAGUAACUGGGACCACAGACAUGAGCCACCAUGCCUGGCUUUUUUUUGUUUUGUUUUGUUUUGUUUUUUGUAGAGACAGGGCGGGGUGUGAGACUCUCAUCUUGUUGCCCAAGCUGGUCUCCUGAGCUCAAGGAUCUGCCCUCCUCGGCCUCCCAAAGCGCUGGGAUUACAGCUUGAUACCCUACCUUGUUUUAACCUGAUUGACUCGCUCUUAGCUGAGAGAGCGGGACAGACUCCAUUUUGGUUUCUUCGCUUGCAGCACCUUGUCCCCCUCCCUUAAGGACAUAACUGGUGCAGACUGACACCAAGCACAUCCAGGAAUGUGCUUACUGAUAAGAUACUGAGGCAAGCUGUACCAGCAGCUCCUGGGAACGCGCUCGGUUGAUGGUACCCAAAGCCCCUGCGUUUAUCUCUUUGUGAUAAUUUAAGCCCCAUGCACCUGGAACUGUUUAUUUUCCUGUAACUGUUUCUAUAACCAUUUAUCUUUUAACUCUUUGCCUGUUCUGCUUCUGUAAAAAUUGCUUCAGCUAGACUACCCCUUCCCUAUUUAGACCAAGGUAUAAAAAGAAAUCUAGCCCCUUCUUCAGGGCCGAGAGAAUUUUGAGCUGUAGUCGUCUCUCGGUCGCCGGCA